UCCCCGUUACCGGGGCAGUCUGAAUAGAAAAAUCCAACUAUUCAUAAGGGUUGCGCUCGUUGAAGGACUUAACCUAACAUCUCACGACACGAGCUGACGACGGCCAUGCAACACCUGUCACUUAGCUCCCUAAGGCACUCACUGCUUUCACAGUAAUUCCAAGGAUGUCAAGCCCUGGUAAGGUUCUUCGCUUACCAUCGAAUUAAAGAACAUGAUCCACCGCUUGUGCGGGUCCCCGUCAAUUCAUUUGAGUUUUAAUCUUGCGACCGUACUCCCCAGGCUGGAUGCUUAACGCGUUAGCUUCGCUACUGAACGGGUCGAUACGUCCAACAGCUAGCAUCCAUCGUUUACGGCGUGGACUAC
rnacentral:misc_RNA from 1 species